CGCAUUGAAUUGGUGCUGAGUGUCAAUUAUGACCCAGGGCCAAACAGCAAAGAACACACCCCUGGUGUGUUCCAGCAGUCCAGACACACCCAGCGUAUGUUCCACAGGGCACAACAGAGUCAUAAACUCAUGUUUCCCUCUAUGGCAGCUUGUGGAGAUGUGUUUUCAGUCCCAGCAAGAGCAGCCACGUUUUUUGGGUUUUUUUUAAUUUUUUUUAAUCUUAAGCUGUCCUAUUUUACUUGGGACUUCAUGGAAAGACUCCCAGCAGCUAU
rnacentral:misc_RNA from 1 species